rnacentral:rRNA from 1 species
GGUGCUUGCACCUGAUUGAUUCCGUUCGCCAACGAGUGGCGGACGGGUGAGUAACACGUAGGUAACCUGCCCAGAAGCGGGGGACAACAUUUGGAAACAGAUGCUAAUACCGCAUAACAACGUUGUUCGCAUGAACAACGCUUAAAAGAUGGCUUCUCGCUAUCACUUCUGGAUGGACCUGCGGUGCAUUAGCUUGUUGGUGGGGUAAUGGCCUACCAAGGCGAUGAUGCAUAGCCGAGUUGAGAGACUGAUCGGCCACAAUGGGACUGAGACACGGCCCAUACUCCUACGGGAGGCAGCAGUAGGGAAUCUUCCACAAUGGGCGCAAGCCUGAUGGAGCAACACCGCGUGAGUGAAGAAGGGUUUCGGCUCGUAAAGCUCUGUUGUUAAAGAAGAACACGUAUGAGAGUAACUGUUCAUACGUUGACGGUAUUUAACCAGAAAGUCACGGCUAACUACGUGCCAGCAGCCGCGGUAAUACGUAGGUGGCAAGCGUUAUCCGGAUUUAUUGGGCGUAAAGAGAGUGCAGGCGGUUUUCUAAGUCUGAUGUGAAAGCCUUCGGCUUAACCGGAGAAGUGCAUCGGAAACUGGAUAACUUGAGUGCAGAAGAGGGUAGUGGAACUCCAUGUGUAGCGGUGGAAUGCGUAGAUAUAUGGAAGAACACCAGUGGCGAAGGCGGCUACCUGGUCUGCAACUGACGCUGAGACUCGAAAGCAUGGGUAGCGAACAGGAUUAGAUACCCUGGUAGUCCAUGCCGUAAACGAUGAGUGCUAGGUGUUGGAGGGUUUCCGCCCUUCAGUGCCGGAGCUAACGCAUUAAGCACUCCGCCUGGGGAGUACGACCGCAAGGUUGAAACUCAAAGGAAUUGACGGGGGCCCGCACAAGCGGUGGAGCAUGUGGUUUAAUUCGAAGCUACGCGAAGAACCUUACCAGGUCUUGACAUCUUGCGCCAACCCUAGAGAUAGGGCGUUUCCUUCGGGAACGCAAUGACAGGUGGUGCAUGGUCGUCGUCAGCUCGUGUCG